rnacentral:misc_RNA from 1 species
CCCGCCAAAAUGCCCUUGUAGUCUCACCAACCACCGUCGCACCAACACUCGUAAGUUCAUCAUCAUCGUUUUCAUUAGCUAAUAAUGGCAAUAACAAUAGUAGCCGAACAUUUCUGUCUCCGCAAUUGUAUCCAAAAGACCCAAGUUCGCUCCGAUCUGUAGCUGUCAGAUCCAAUUUGAGUUUUCCUCUUAUUUCUCCCAACGAUCGAUGGGGCACCUGGACCGCUCUCUGCGCAACCGGCGCUUUUGGUAUCUGGUCGGAGAAGACCAAGAUUGGAAGCGCGUUGAGCGGUGCGCUAGUGAGCACCUUAGUUGGACUUGCAGCUAGCAAUUUGAGGAUCAUUUCGUGUGAAUCUCCGGCUUACUCUAUUGUUUUGGAGUUUCUGCUCCCUUUGGCAGUUCCAUUGUUGCUGUUCAGAGCGGACAUGCGUCGUGUGAUUCAGUCCACUGGGACACUUCUCUCGGCUUUCUUGCUAGGAUCAGUUGCUACAACAGUUGGGACAUUGUUGGCAUAUUGGAUUGUGCCAAUGCGAUCACUUGGUGAGGAUAGUUGGAAAAUAGCAGCUGCUCUCAUGGGAAGACACAUUGGCGGAGCUGUCAAUUAUGUUGCCAUUGCGAAUGCUCUUGAAAUGUCUUCAUCAGUUUUAGCUUCUGGACUAGCUGCAGAUAAUGUUAUUUGUGCAAUGUAUUUUACAACAUUGUUUGCGUUGGCAUCUAAAAUACCGCCUGAGUCUUCAACAGAAACUAAUGAUGCUCAGAUGGAGAGUGGGUCUGAACCUAGCAACAACCUUCCUGUUCUACAGCUCGGUACUGCCCUUGCAGUGUCCUUUGCCAUCUGCAAGGCUGGUUCUUACGUGACAAAGUUUUUUCAGAUUCAAGGAGGUAUCCUCCCAGCUGUAACAGCCAUUGUUGUUGUCUUAGCAACUGCAUUUCCAACCCCUUUUAAUUACCUUGCACCAUCUGGAGAGGCUAUAGCUUUGAUUCUGAUGCAGGUAUUUUUCACUGUGGUGGGUGCAAGUGGAAACAUAUGGCAUGUGAUUAAAACAGCGCCCAGCAUUUUCCUGUUUGCUCUUGUACAGAUUACCAUCCAUCUGGUGGUGAUCCUUGGAUUGGGAAAGCUAUUUCGCUUUGACCUAAGGCUAUUGCUUUUGGCAUCAAAUGCUAAUGUCGGAGGCCCUACAACCGCAUGUGGAAUGGCCACGGCCAAAGGGUGGAGAUCCUUGGUUGUUCCUGGUAUUCUUGCUGGCAUUUUUGGAAUCGCCAUUGCAACUUUUCUUGGAAUUGAUUUUGGAAGGAGGUUUCUGAA